AGUGAACGCUGGCGGUAGGCCUAACACAUGCAAGUCGAACGGCAGCACAGUAAGAGCUUGCUCUUACGGGUGGCGAGUGGCGGACGGGUGAGGAAUACAUCGGAAUCUACUUUUUCGUGGGGGAUAACGUAGGGAAACUUACGCUAAUACCGCAUACGACCUACGGGUGAAAGCAGGGGAUCUUCGGACCUUGCGCGAUUGAAUGAGCCGAUGUCGGAUUAGCUAGUUGGCGGGGUAAAGGCCCACCAAGGCGACGAUCCGUAGCUGGUCUGAGAGGAUGAUCAGCCACACUGGAACUGAGACACGGUCCAGACUCCUACGGGAGGCAGCAGUGGGGAAUAUUGGACAAUGGGCGCAAGCCUGAUCCAGCCAUACAGCGUGGGUGAAGAAGGCCUUCGGGUUGUAAAGCCCUUUUGUUGGGAAAGAAAAGCAGCAGGUUAAUACCCCGCUGUUCUGACGGUACCCAAAGAAUAAGCACCGGCGAACUUCGU
rnacentral:rRNA from 1 species